AUUGAACGCUGGCGGCAUGCUUUACACAUGCAAGUCGAACGGCAGCGGGGAGGAGCUUGCUUCUCUGCCGGCGAGUGGCGCACGGGUGAGUAAUACAUCGGAACGUGUCGAGAAGAGGGGGAUAACCACCCGAAAGGGUGGCUAAUACCGCAUAAAUUCUGAGGAAGAAAGCUGGGGACCUAGGAAUAGGCCUAGCGCUUUUGAGCGGCCGAUGUCGGAUUAGCUAGUUGGUGAGGUAAAGGCUCACUAAGGCGAAGAUCUGUAGCGGGUCUGAGAGGAUGAUCCGCCACACUGGGACUGAGAAACGGCCCAGACUCCUACGGGAGGCAGCAGUGGGGAAUUUUGGACGAUGGGGGCAACCCUGAUCCAGCCAUGCCGCGUGUAUGAAGAAGGCCUUAGGGUUGUAGAGUACUUUUGUUAGGGAAGAAAAGUUAGCUGUGAAUAAUGGCUGAUACUGACGGUACCUAAAGAAUAAGCACCGGCUAACUACGUG
rnacentral:rRNA from 1 species